GGUGCAAUUGAAGUACAAUCAUUUUCAAUGGCAGAAAAGAUAAACCAUAUUUUAUAAUAGAAGAGCCUUCACACAUGUCAGCAAUUAUCGUUCACUUUGAAGUGAUAAACAGAAGCCAUACAUCAAUUACUUAAAUGAACUUUGCAACACAGCUGAGGCAAAACCUACCAGCAGCUGUGAAUAAGAAAUGUCGGUGCUGCUCUAGGUGUAUGCCUUCAGCUCACAAUUCCAAUCAAACCAUGUGGUUUGGGCAGAAGAAAGAGUCUCCUGUUCUUUGAACACUGCAGAUGACAGGUCUAUCACAAUGCUCUCAAUGGAUGCUUUGAAAUAUCAGGAAGAAUUUCUUGUCUGCAGGGCAAAGAGUGGGAUGAUGUCACGAAAGGGGACUAGAAGGCAUGAGCAAGUCAGCAGAGGAGAGAGAAGCUGGGCAUGGAAGCCUAUACCUGUGAACCCAACGAGGAAGCAGGGAGAUCAGGAACUUAAGGACAUCUCUGCUGUGGAAUAAUCCUCUUGUGCACUGUCAAGGAGUGAAGUAAACAGUGAGGUGUGCGGCAGGAAGGCAGCUAAGACACCCAAGGACAAGAGGAGAACCCCGUAGGAGCUCCCAGGAUGGACUGAAAACUGGCUUGUGCUCAGGGUGGAGGCAUGAUAAUGUUGGAAGUGGCAAGCAAAGAAAAUCUACAACAGCUGCUCUGAGGAACUGGAAAGGAAUUUAACAAACAACGGAUAAAUAAAGCACUGACAAGCAGCAUUGGAAGCCCAAACAACAAGAGAUAACAUGAAUUUGCAAUGGACCAAGUCUGUGGUCUCGUAAGUUUCCAUGACACCAAGCAGGCUUCAUUAUAUGAUCACCUCAUCAACUUUCCCUUGAUACAUACAUUCUUUUUCCAUUUUUCCAGUCCACUUUUAAAUGCAUCCAGAAAUGAACUAAGAUUCCACAUUGUUGAUAAGAACCCAAUGUGUUUUACCUCGUGUCACAUCAUGACAGUAAUUUAUCAAAUAAAUAUUGUCUGUUCAAGUAAAAUUACUUGAAAAUAUCUUACACAAUUAUCAUAAUAAAUUUAAAAAUCCCUCCCAA